rnacentral:rRNA from 1 species
GUAAUGGCAGGUCAGCAUACUGCCGUGAAUACGUUCCCGGGCCUUGUACACACCGCCCGUCACACCAUGAGAGUUGGGGAUACCCGAAGCCUGUGAGCUAACUAUUUAUAGGAGCAGCAGUCGAAGGUAGAAUCAAUGAUUGGGGUGAAGUCGUAACAAGGUACC